GCCGAGGUGGCGGAACUGGCAGACGCGCAGCGUUGAGGGCGCUGUGGGCAUUUUGUUCGUGUGGGUUCGAGUCCCACCCUCGGCA
rnacentral:tRNA from 1 species